rnacentral:rRNA from 1 species
ACGGGUGAGUAAAGUAUCGGAACGUGCCCAGUCGUGGGGGAUAACGUAGCGAAAGUUACGCUAAUACCGCAUACGAUCUAUGGAUGAAAGCGGGGGAUCGCAAGACCUCGCGCGAUUGGAGCGGCCGAUAUCAGAUUAGGUAGUUGGUGGGGUAAAGGCUCACCAAGCUGACGAUCUGUAGCUGGUCUGAGAGGACGACCAGCCACACUGGGACUGAGACACGGCCCAGACUCCUACGGGAGGCAGCAGUGGGGAAUUUUGGACAAUGGGCGCAAGCCUGAUCCAGCCAUGCCGCGUGCAGGAUGAAGGCCUUCGGGUUGUAAACUGCUUUUGUACGGAACGAAAAGGUUUGACUUAAUACGUUGGACUCAUGACGGUACCGUAAGAAUAAGCACCGGCUAACUACGUGCCAGCAGCCGCGGUAAUACGUAGGGUGCGAGCGUUAAUCGGAAUUACUGGGCGUAAAGCGUGCGCAGGCGGUUAUGUAAGACAGAUGUGAAAUCCCCGGGCUCAACCUGGGAACUGCAUUAGUGACUGCAUAGCUGGAGUACGGCAGAGGGGGGAUGGAAUUUCCGCGU